rnacentral:rRNA from 1 species
GAUGAACGCUGGCGGCGUGCCUAAUACAUGCAAGUCGAGCGAACGGACGAGAAGCUUGCUUUUCUGAUGUUAGCGGCGGACGGGUGAGUAACACGUGGAUAACCUACCUAUAAGACUGGGAUAACUUCGGGAAACCGGAGCUAAUACCGGAUAAUAUUUUGAACCGCAUGGUUCAAAAGUGAAAGACGGUCUUGCUGUCACUUAUAGAUGAAUCCGCGCUGCAUUAGCUAGUUGGUAAGGUAACGGCUUACCAAGGCAACGAUGCAUAGCCGACCUGAGAGGGUGAUCGGCCACACUGGAACUGAGACACGGUCCAGACUCCUACGGGAGGCAGCAGUAGGGAAUCUUCCGCAAUGGGCGAAAGCCUGACGGAGCAACGCCGCGUGAGUGAUGAAGGUCUUCGGAUCGUAAAACUCUGUUAUUAGGGAAGAACAUAUGUGUAAGUAACUGUGCACAUCUUGACGGUACCUAAUUAGAAAGCCACGGCUAACUACGUG